AUUGAACGCUGGCGGCAGGCCUAACACAUGCAAGUCCAGCGGAUGAAGGGAGCUUGCUCCUGGAUUCAGCGGCGGACGGGUGAGUAAUGCCUAGGAAUCUGCCUGGUAGUGGGGGAUAACGUCCGGAAACGGGCGCUAAUACCGCAUACGUCCUGAGGGAGAAAGUGGGGGAUCUUCGGACCUCACGCUAUCAGAUGAGCCUAGGUCGGAUUAGCUAGUUGGUGGGGUAAAGGCCUACCAAGGCGACGAUCCGUAACUGGUCUGAGAGGAUGAUCAGUCACACUGGAACUGAGACACGGUCCAGACUCCGACGGGAGGCAGCGGUGGGGAAUAUUGGACAAUGGGCGAAAGCCUGAUCCAGCCAUGCCGCGUGUGUGAAGAAGGUCUUCGGAUUGUAAAGCACUUUAAGUUGGGAGGAAGGGCAGUAAGUUAAUACCUUGCUGUUUUGACGUUACCAACAGAAUAAGCACCGGCUAACUUCGUG
rnacentral:rRNA from 1 species